CCUACGGGGGGCUGCAGUAAGGAAUAUUGGUCAAUGGACGCAAGUCUGAACCAGCCAUGCCGCGUGGAGGAUGAAGGUCCUCUGGAUUGUAAACUUCUUUUAUUUGGGAAGAAACUCCCGAUUUCCAUCGGGAUUGACGGUACCAGAUGAAUAAUCACCGGCUAACUCCGUGCCAGCAGCCGCGGUAAUACGGAGGGUGCGAGCGUUAUCGGGAUUCAGGGGGUGUAAGGGGGCAGUAGAGUGAGUGGUAAAAUCUCCGGGCUUAACCCGGAAACUGCCAUUGAUACUAUUUGUCUUGAAUACUCUGGAGGUGAGCGGAAUAUGUCAUGUAGCGGUGAAAUGCUUAGAUAUGACAUAGAACACCCAUUGCGAAGGCAGCUCACUACGGAAAUAUUGACGCUGAGGCACGAAAGCGUGGGGAUCAAACAGGAUUAGAUACCCCAGUAGUC
rnacentral:rRNA from 1 species